rnacentral:rRNA from 1 species
AGAGUUUGAUCAUGGCUCAGAUUGAACGCUGGCGGCAUGCCUUACACAUGCAAGUCGAACGACGUCAGGGGGCAACUCCUGGCGAGUGGCGAACGGGUGAGUACAACAUCGGAACGUGUCCUGUCGUGGGGGAUAACCAGUCGAAAGACUGGCUAAUACCGCAUGAGAUCGAAAGAUGAAAGCGGGGGACCGCAAGGCCUCGCGCGAUAGGAGCGGCCGAUGCCGGAUUAGCUAGUUGGCGGGGUAAAAGCCCACCAAGGCUACGAUCCGUAGCUGGUUUGAGAGAACGACCAGCCACACUGGGACUGAGACACGGCCCAGACUCCUACGGGAGGCAGCAGUGGGGAAUUUUGGACAAUGGGCGCAAGCCUGAUCCAGCCAUGCCGCGUGUGUGAAGAAGGCCUUCGGGUUGUAAAGCACUUUCGGACGGAACGAAAUCGCACGGGCGAAUAUCCCGUGUGGAUGACGGUACCGUAAGAAGAGA